GGUAGUGUACAAUAAGCUUUAGAAUUUAGAUGAUUUGAAACAAGAACAAACAUAUCUGCCACAGUGAGGAGAACGCAUUUUUCUCCCUCCAGUGAAUUACCAAAGUGGGCUUUGCAUACAUACACAAUUUAUUUCCAACUAUGUGAAAAUGUUGUAUACUCGGUAUCUAAGUUGCUGUCAUGAGUGGAAUUUUUUAAGUUCAAAGACUUUUGCAAUCAAAAUAAAGCAAGGAAGUGGAGGACACAAGAUGAAGAUCUAGAUAAUUUCACUCUGAGCGACAUUGUAUUUUUGAGGUUCCAUUUAUUUCUGACGACUGUUUAAUCCUCUGGCUUUUAUAAUCACAAACUGAUGAUCACUUGAUGGAGAACCAACACUGAAAGUGGGAAAGUCUUAGAAGGACUGAGUUUGGAUGGGGGAAGAUUACAAAUUUGGAUUUGGCUAAAUUUGAGAUAGCAUCUUAAGACCUAUAGAACUGCUUUACAAGGAUGAGUGUAAGAGCCGAAAGCCAACUGUAUCCACAGCAGAUGACCUGGUGUACAGCUUUCUAACUGGAGCUACCAGAUAAUCCCAUGGUUCAAGAGGUGGAUGAGAAUGCCUAAGAUCCGUUCUUUUGGAAAAUUUCAAGUAUAUAUUAUUAAUUAUAAUUAUCAUUUUGUAUAUUAGAUCUCUAGAAUUGAUUCAUCUCAUUGAUAGCCUGUACACUUUGACUAACGUCUCCCUGUUUCUGUCAGACCCCCACAACUACCAUACUGCUCUUCCUCUAAGGUCAACUUUGUUAUAUUUUAUAUAUUAGUAAUAUUGCACAUUAUUUGUUUGCAUCUAGUUUAUCAUAACCUUGUGUAACACAUCUCAAUUCAUUCAC
rnacentral:lncRNA from 1 species